rnacentral:misc_RNA from 1 species
AAGAAUUACAUGAACAUUACAAAAUUUAAACCCUACAAAGAAAACAGGAUACCUAAAUUUCCCUGAAAACUUUUACUGGUUAUAAUAAACUUACUAGGACUUAUUACUUCCAGACUUAUUAGGACUUCAUGUUACGACUCAAAACUGAAGUACACUUAAAUUAAGAUUCAAGAUACCCAUUCCAGCAAAAUUGCAAAAAUACUUAAAUACUCUUUAUUUUUAAAAUAUACGAGUCAUUGAUCCAAUUACAAUAUGAAGUCGUUUAUUGUGCAUCACCCUCUGCCCACAACUUCAUAUGAGAGACUCUCCCAAAUACCAAG